rnacentral:lncRNA from 1 species
GCCAAGGAGAGUUUUGACUGUCAGGAAAACUAAAGAGGAGGAGUUCGUGAAGUAAGUCCUUAAAAUCACAUCUGUUCACCUUACGUGACAGGAAGGAGAGGCGACUUCUGAAGCAGGGUGAUUGAAAUGGAAAUGCAUUCAAAUAAAUGGACUCUGGAGCUCCACUUUGUUCUAAAUAACCUCUACUGUCUUUUUUUCCGUCUUGCUCCAGUUUGUCCUGCUCAAACUGUAAAGUCCUCUCCCUGGAUUUCUAAGGAUGCUGUGCCCUCUGUCUUUGCCUUCACUUGGCUCCUCUGUCUUUGGCCUUCAGGAUUCUGUUAGCCUGUCUGAGAAGACUGUCCACCAUGGCCUUCUGAAGGUUUUUCCUAUUGACUAGAAGAUUUGCAACUCGAGUGAAAGAGUGACUGAUAUCAUCCCCACUCAUUUCACUGUCAAGAGUUGGGCUUGUCAGCCCUUGGUGAGUAACACACCAGCCAUAGGCACUGAUCAUAAACUGUUCCCCAUUAGCUGUCACGGUCAAACUCACCUCCCCAAGUCAUGGAGUUCCAGAUAGACCACCAACGACAGGCUUUACUGUUUGGUCAUUUGCUUUUUCCCCUCGAACAGGAGGAUUUCCUAUUCCCUGGUUUUGCAUUUCUGUAUCAUAAGGGAAAUGUGGCUCAUUAGUAAUGGAGCACGGAUGCCAUUCUAUGCUUAUCAUGAGCUGACACUGAUCAGAUUAGGGAAGCAAUUGGCAACUUUCUUUUCUUCUCUUGCCAUCCAGUCAGAACAGUGACUUCAAUUUUAUUUGUCUGUUUUUCUUGCUAUUCUCAGCUUUCUCCUACUCACCAUUCUCCU